CUACGGGGUGCUCCAGUGAGGAAUAUUGCACAAUGGGGGGAACCCUGAUGCAGCAACGCCGCGUGGAGGAUGACGCAUUUCGGUGUGUAAACUCCUUUUAUAUGUCAAGAAAAUGACGGUAGCACAUGAAUAAGCACCGGCUAACUCCGUGCCAGCAGCCGCGGUAAUACGGAGGGUGCAAGCGUUACUCGGAAUCACUGGGCGUAAAGGACGCGUAGGCGGGUUGGAAAGUCAGGUGUGAAAUCCUACGGCUUAACUGUAGAACUGCACUUGAAACUUCUAAUCUAGAGUAUGGGAGGGGGAGAUGGAAUUAGUGGUGUAGGGGUAAAAUCCGUAGAUAUCACUAGGAAUACCUAAAGCGAAGGCGAUCUCCUGGAACAUUACUGACGCUAAGGCGUGAAAGCGUGGGGAGCAAACAGGAUUAGAUACCCGGGUAGUC
rnacentral:rRNA from 1 species